UACGUAGGGGGCAAGCGUUGUCCGGAAUCAUUGGGCGUAAAGAGCGUGUAGGCGGCCAGAUAAGUCCGCUGUGAAAUCUCGAGGCUCAACUUCGAGCUGUCGGUGGAAACUGUCUGGCUAGAGUCCGGAAGAGGAGAAUGGAAUUCCUGGUGUAGCGGUGAAAUGCGUAGAGAUCGGGCGGAACACCAGCGGCGAAGGCGGCAUCCUGGCCCUGACCUGACGCUGAGGCGCGAGAGCGUGGGGAGCAAACCGG
rnacentral:rRNA from 1 species